GGUUAGUGCAGCGAAUAAGGCAGUAAGCCCGGCAUGCCGGGCCGAUGAGCCGUCAUUGACCUAGUGUGACUCUGCCGAUAUAGAUUAGGCGCACUAACA
rnacentral:sRNA from 1 species